GGCCACAUCAUUUUGAAACACCGGAUCCCGUACGAUCGCCCAAGUUAAGCAACGUUGAGACUGCUUAGUACCUACAUGGGUGACCGCUUGGUAAUAUCAGGUGAUGUUA
rnacentral:rRNA from 1 species